GACGAACGCUGGCGGCGUGCUUAACACAUGCAAGUCGUACGGUAAGGCCCUUUCGGGGGUACACGAGUGGCGAACGGGUGAGUAACACGUGAGUAACCUGCCCACAACUUUGGGAUAACGCUAGGAAACUGGUGCUAAUACUGGAUAUGUGCUCCUGCUGCAUGGUGGGGGUUGGAAAGCUCCGGCGGUUGUGGAUGGACUCGCGGCCUAUCAGCUUGUUGGUGGGGUAGUGGCCUACCAAGGCGGCGACGGGUAGCCGGCCUGAGAGGGUGACCGGCCACAUUGGGACUGAGAGACGGCCCAGACGCCUACGGGAGGCAGCAGUGGGGAAUAUUGCACAAUGGGCGCAAGCCUGAUGCAGCAACGCCGCGUGCGGGAUGACGGCCUUCGGGUUGUAAACCGCUUUCAGCAGGGACGAAGCUUUUUGUGACGGUACCUGCAGAAGAAGCACCGGCUAACUACGUG
rnacentral:rRNA from 1 species